AGUAAUCAUUUUUAUAUUUUGGUAGAUGAAUUUUAUAUUUUGUAUUGUCUGAAAACAAAAUUUUUAUUUGAAAGAGAAAUAAAAUGCAUUUUGUAUUUUGUUAGAUGAAAGAGAAAUAAACUGGUAAAUGCAUUUUGUAUUUUGUUACAUGAAUUUUGUAUUUUGUAUUUAAUUUUUUAAAUUUUUUAUGUUUUUUAAUCCUUUCAUUGGAAUUAAUCAUGUAACUUUUAUUUUUCAGUUCGCAUGAUAUUUAGGUUUU
rnacentral:lncRNA from 1 species